AUUGAACGCUGGCGGCGUGCCUAACACAUGCAAGUCGCACGCGAAAGGGGGCAACCCCAAGUAGAGUGGCGGACGGGUGAGUAACGCGUAGGAAUCUACCUAGUAGUGGGGGACAACUCGGCGAAAGCCGGGCUAAUACCGCAUACGACCUAAGGGUGAAAGCAGGGGAUCGCAAGACCUUGCGCUAUUAGAUGAGCCUGCGUCCGAUUAGCUAGUUGGUGAGGUAACGGCUCAACAAGGCGACGAUCGGUAACUGGUUUGAGAGAACGACCAGUCACAUUGGGACUGAGACACGGCCCAAACUCCGACGGGAGGCAGCAGUGGGGAAUAUUGGACAAUGGGGGCAACCCUGAUCCAGCGACGCCGCGUGUGUGAAGAAGGCCUUCGGGUUGUAAAGCACUUUCGGCAGGGACAAACAAGACGGAGCUAACAUCUCCGUUCCUGAUGGUACCUGAAGAAGAAGCACCGGCUAACUCUGUGCCAGCCGCCGCCGUAA
rnacentral:rRNA from 1 species